rnacentral:rRNA from 1 species
UGGGGAAUAUUGGACAAUGGGCGCAAGCCUGAUCCAGCAAUGCCGCGUGUGUGAAGAAGGCCUUCGGGUUGUAAAGCACUUUUAUCAGGAGCGAAACGCUGUCGGCUAAUACCCGGCGGAACUGACGGUACCUGAGGAAUAAGCACCGGCUAACUUCGUGCCAGCAGCCGCGGUAAUACGAAGGGUGCAAGCGUUAAUCGGAAUUACUGGGCGUAAAGCGUGCGUAGGCGGUUUCUUAAGUCUGCUGUGAAAUCCCCGGGCUCAACCUGGGAAUGGCAGUGGAUACUGGGAGGCUAGAGUGUGUCAGAGGGUGGUGGAAUUCCCGGUGUAGCGGUGAAAUGCGUAGAGAUCGGGAGGAACAUCAGUGGCGAAGGCGGCCACCUGGGACAACACUGACGCUGAGGCACGAAAAGCGUGGGGAGCAAACAGGAUUAGGAUACCCUGGUAGUCCACGCCCUAAAACGAUGCGAACUGGAUGUUGGUCUCAACUCGGAGAUCAGUGUCGAAGCUAACGCGUUAAGUUCGCCGCCUGGGGAGUACGGUCGCAAGACUGAAACUCAAAGGAAUUGACGGGGUCAU